rnacentral:rRNA from 1 species
UGUGUUCAAGCUACUAAGGGCAUACGGUGGAUGCCUUGGCGCCAAGAGCCGAUGAAGGACGUGGCACACUGCGAUAAGCUUCAGGUAGCCGUGUGCAGGCUUUGACCUGGAGGUUUCCGAAUGGGGUAACCCACCCGGGGGAAUGCCCGGGUACCCGUAGGUGAAUACAUAGCCUACGUGGAGGGAACCAGGGGAACUGAAACAUCUAAGUACCCUGAGGAAAGAAGAUCAUUCCCCGAGUAGUGGCGAGCGAAAGGGGAGAAGCCCAAACCCAUGCUGUGCUCAAGCCUGCGGGCGUUGCAGUAUGGGGGUUGACAGGCUCAGCUGAAGCCUCCGCAGAGGCUUCAAGGAGUUACAAAACCAAACGGUAGUGGAACGGCACUGGAAAGGCCGGCCAUAGAGGGUGAUAGCCCCGUACAGGACCCGUGCGGUCUCCUGCUGAUGUCCUUGAGUACCGCCGCGCACGCUAAUGCGGCGGGAAGCUGGGGAGCCCACUUCCCAAGGCUAAAUACUCUUGGCGACCGAUAGUGAACAAGUACCGUGAGGGAAAGGUGAAAAGAACCCCAGUGCGGGGAGUGAAAUAGAACCUGAAACCGUAUGCCUACAAGCGAUCGGAGGACUAUGGCCUGAGUGCUUGCACCCAGGCAAGGUCUGACGGUGUGCCUUUUGGAGAAUGAGCCGGCGAGUUACUCUUUGUGGCAAGGUUAAGGCAGUUACAGCCGAAGCCGUAGCGAAAGCGAGUCUGAAUAGGGCGUCGAGUCGCAAGGAGUAGACCCGAAACCAGGUGAGCUACCCAUGGCCAGACUGAAGCGAGAGUAACAUCUCGUGGAGGGUCGAACCCACUAACGUUGCAAAGUCAGGGGAUGAGCUGUGGGUAGAGGUGAAAUGCCAAACGAACUUGGAGAUAGCUGGUUCUCCCCGAAAUAGCUCUAGGGCUAGCCUCGAGCGUUCAGCGAUGGAGGUAGAGCACUGGAUUGGCCAGGGGGCGCAAGCUUACCGAACCAAACCAAACUCCGAAUGCCAUCGCUUCAUAGCUCGGGAGUUGGACUGCGUGAGAUGAGUUUCGUGGUCGAGAGGGAAACAGCCCAGACCACCGGCUAAGGCCCCUAAUUCCAGGCUAAGUGGUAAAGGAUGUGGGGUUACCCAGACAGCCAGGAGGUUGGCUUAGAAGCAGCCACCCUUUAAAGAGUGCGUAAUAGCUCACUGGUCAAGUGAUCCUGCGCCGAAAAUGUAACGGGGCUCAAGCCUGGAGCCGAAGCCGUGGGAUGACCUUUGGUCAUCAGUAGGGGAGCGUUCCGUUAGCUGUGAAGCUAGACUGUGAGGACUAGUGGAGCCAACGGAAGUGAGGAUGCCGGCAUGAGUAGCGUGAAACACGUGAGAACCGUGUUCGCCGUAAGCCUAAGGUUUCCGACGCAAGGUCAUUCCGCGUCGGGUUAGCCGGGCCUAAGCCGAGGACUAACGUCGUAGGCGAUGGACAACAGGUCAACAUUCCUGUGCCGCGUCGGGUCGUUUGACCAAUGGGGGGACGCGGGAGGGUAGACGAGCCUCUUAUCGGAUUGAGGUGCCAAGCUCGUAGGCAGUUGAAGGUGGUAGGGAAAUCCGCCGCCCGAUGCCAAGGAGUGAUGGCGGGCCCAUUAGGGCCACAAGUCGUUGAGCCCAUACCGCCGAGAAAAGCCUCUAGGGAGAUCCACGCGCCCGUACCGCAAUCCGACACCGGUAGGCGGGUAGAAUAUACCAAGGCGAUCGAGGAAACCCUCGUUAAGGAACUAGGCAAAAUGGUUCCGUAACUUCGGGAGAAGGAACGCCUUGCUGGGUGUAGCACUUUGCGUGCGAAGCCCCGCGAGGUCGCAGUGAACCGGCCCUAGCGACUGUUUAACAAAAUCACAGGUCUCUGCUAAAGCGAAAGCUGAAGUAUAGGGGCUGAAGCCUGCCCAGUGCUGGAAGGUUAAAGGGAGAGGUUAGGCCGGGCGAAAGCCUGGUCAAAGCUUUGAACUGAAGCCCCAGUGAACGGCGGCGGUAACUAUAACCGUCCUAAGGUAGCGAAAUUCCUUGUCGGGUAAGUUCCGACCCGCACGAAUGGCCUAACGACUGGGGCGCCGUCUCAACGAGGGACUCGGUGAAAUUGAAGUAGGCGUGAAGAUACGCCAAACCCGCAGCACGACAAAAAGACCCCGUGGAGCUUUACUGUAAUUUGGCAUUGACUUAGGGCUUUGUCUGUAGAGGAUAUGUGGGAGGCUAUGAAACCAGGGCGCUAGCCUUGGCGGAGCCGCCGGUGGAAUACCACACUGAUAAAGUCUUGAGUCUAACCUGCGACCGUUAUCCGGCGCGGAGACAGUGCCAGAUGGGCAGUUUGACUGGGGCGGUCGCCUCCUAAAAGGUAACGGAGGCGCCCAAAGGUUCCCUCAGGCUGAAUGGAAACCAGCCAUAGAGUGUAAAGGCACAAGGGAGCUUGACUGCGAGGCCUACAAGCCGAGCAGACACGAAAGUGGGGCUUAGUGAUCCUACGGCUCUGUGUGGAAAGGCCGUGGCUUAUCGGACAAAAGUUACCCCGGGGAUAACAGGCUGGUGACGCCCAAGAGUUCACAUCGACGGCGUCGCUCGGCACCUCGAUGUCGGCUCGUCGCAUCCUGGGGCUGGAGCAAGUCCCAAGGGUCGGGCUGUUCGCCCGUUAAAGUGGUACGCGAGCUGGGUUCAGACCGUCGUGAGACAGGUCGGUCUCUAUCGGCUGUGGGCGUAGGGGAAUUGAGGAGAGCUGCUCCUAGUACGAGAGGACCGGAGUGGACUGACCUCUGGUGUGCCAGUUGUCGCGCCAGCGGCAUCGCUGGGUAGCUACGUCGGGCAGGGAUAACCGCUGAAUGCAUCUAAGUGGGAAACCCGCUCCAAGAUUAGUUCCCCCACCAGGAUAACUGGGUAAGGCCGCAGGAAGACUACCUGCUUGAUAGGCGGCGUGUGUAAGCACAGCAAUGUGUUGAGCUAAGCCGUACUAAUGGCCGAGGGCUUGAACAU